ACUGCGCUACACACCUACACACUGUACUGUACACUCUCUAUCUAUCUAUCUCAGCGAUUUGCAUACGCACGCCGAAGAUUUGCAUAACUGCAUAAUCCGAAAGUUCGUUUUAGGGGAGGAAGUUCCUCGUCGGCUUUGGGUAAAUGCAUAAUCCUCGAGUUAUGAGAGCCGUUUUUCUUGCGGCCUUUCGAGACUCUGCCAUUGCAUCGACGCGAAGUACAAGUUCGAAGGUUGAUGGCUUUGUUGCGCUAACGCGGUCCGGGGUUAUUACGCGACUGUGCGAGCGGGCGUUAAUGAGGUAGAGACGACGACGACGACGACGACGACGGGUAUUUCAUCUCGUUUUCGAAUGCAAUUACGCCGGGGAAUUCGAACUCGAUGUAAUUCGAGGCACCCGGCGCAAUUUUCCUCGAUAUACAUACAGCGAGCCUUGAUUUACUCGCUGCGUUGUAUUUUAAUGUUACGAGAGUGUAUAAUUGCUGUUGAGGAAAGUAUUCAGACUGGCCUUGCUCUGCAGUCCCUGGGCGCGUGUAGCUGCCUUGCUGGGCUUGCUCGAGCCGCACCUCGACGCCUUGGCGUCUUCAUCCGCGGAGCCGAUAAAUUGAUUGCAGCUGUGAUCGAGUUGGCAGUCGGCGCACGUUUCCGCGUAAGUGCGGCGCCAGAGGAGGAAAAUCAAGCGCGUGUAUAUGGCUAUAGGAGUCAAGUGCGUUGUUCGAACGCAUAAUCCGCAUUUGCAUAAAGUGGCGAAAUUCGAAUUUCGCGCUACUGCAGCAACUGGAGUAUAAAUCGAAACGGUUAUUUAUGUCGUGAAUUAUGAAUAAAAUAAGAGAAGCAUACGUCGAAACGAUCCUACCUCUCUCACCAAGUGGAUUAUUGUUUUAUUGCAGCGUUUGAAACGGAGAGAGAGAGAGCUGAAGGAUAAACCAAACUCAAGCGGCCGUUUCGCUCGAUCGCACAAUAACCGUAACGAGAAAAUGACACACAGCCGUAUUAUACGAUCCGAACGAUUAUGAUGAAACUCAAAAUUUCUCUCGACGCCUCUCUCGCUGUGCGUUUUACGACCAGAGAGUUAUAUCGCGCGUUUAUAUUUCCGUCAAGAAUUGCCGAGCGAUCGACAUGCGGAGCAGCGUCGUCUCCGUCGAUUCUCCGAAAUUUUCGAAAACAAGAAAUCCCAACAACUUCCUUUUUCGCUACACACGUAAAUAAGCCGGAACGCGCGGAGAAAACUUAAUCAAAACUUUCCGAGUCGCAGCGCGCGGUCGCAUUAGAAGAUUAAAAGCCGCCGUUGUUUACGCCGAAAGUUUAAAAAAAGCGCGACGUUCUUAAACGCCGAGUCGGCGCUGCUAUAGUAUAUAGUCUCUCACGUUCGCUCCGAAUUAAUAUAUAGAGCGUUUCUGGGCCACGGCGCUUUAAUUAAACGCGAUUACAUCUUCGACGGCUCAUGUGUGGGUGGGUGUAGGUACCUACACGCGAUGCAUUAUUUCGCGCCACCCGAGACUCUCUGCUCGCCCUGUCGCGUUAUAUAUCUUUCGAGUUGCUUACCCUGUAAGUUCUUGCACCCACUUGCUCUCUCAGGGGUGGUAUACAGUGGAAUAAAUUAUGUCGAUUGUCUCUCGAUGAUUGCCAAUUUCCGAGUUCUGAUUGCGGACAAUCAUUUUCACUGAUCGGCUUACGGGCCUUUUUAUACUUUAUAUCUCUCGCUAAUGGUAUCGCUAAUUUAAUUUCGUAGUAGAGCAACACAGAGAGCGCGUCCAAGUAUUCCAAUAUAACAGCAGUGUACAGCGAGAUUAGCUUUAAUCCGGGCGGGCGAUUCGCGAACGAAAAGAGCAUCAGCGAGCGGCGCAAACUUUCGAGUGGUAAGCCCCGGUGUAAGCUAAUGCAAUUUUAGUUGUAAUACGCCGCGCGCGGCUAAAUUUCUAUCGUCGAUCGUCGGCGCAUACGUUAUGUGUUAAAUGGGGGAGGGAAAAUUUUCA